rfam:Schistosoma rodhaini strain Burundi genome assembly, scaffold: SROB_scaffold0001839
GCACUGCUGAAGAGUCCCACAAUAGGACGUGACGGCCGUUUAGUGC